AGCUGGGCCCUGGGUCGGGGGGAACAGAGGCUGGGUCCCGGUGUUGGACAACAUAUUGGGUCAGCUCAACCAGACAAUGACAGCACUUUCCUUCUCUCCUUCCUGGGUUACAGAUGGGUGUACCGGAAACCUAGUUACAACACUCGGGUCUGCAGCUGCCAGUUUCCGGUCCAACAACAGUGCAUCCCUCAGGACAUCCGGUGCCAGUGUGAUCCAGUUGUAGAGGUUCACGCCUGGGGACGGACAGAUGAAUAAUUCAUCAAAGACAUGAGGCGUAACAUGCGGAACAUCAGGCUCACCCCAGGAGAAGCAGUGCAUGAUCAACGCUACUCUCAGCAAGGAGAUCUGCUGGAAAUGAUCGUUCUCUAAGACAUUUAAACUUCAUAGAUAGAAAUUCGCACACGAUAAAAUGCAACGUGGAUUGUAUUGUACUACUGGAUGAAACUGAGGAGAUGCACUCAGAUCUUUGUGAUUGAACUUACGUUAACUUAGACAUAGUAACCAGGAGUGGUAUGGUGUAGGCAUAGUAACCAGGAGUGGUAUGGUGUUGAUAUCGUGUAGGCAUAGUAACCAGGAGUGGUAUGGUGUUGAUAUCGUGUAGGCAUAGUAACCAGGAGUGGUAUGGUGUUGAUAUCGUGUAGGCAUAGUAACCAGGAGGGGUAUGGUGUUGAUAUCGUGUAGUCAUAGUAACCAGGAGGGGUAUGGUGUUGAUAUCGUGUAGGCAUAGUAACCAGGAGUGGUAUGGUGUUGAUAUCGUGUAGGCAUAGUAACCAGGAGGGGUAUGGUGUUAAUAUCGUGUAGUCAUAGUAACCAGGAGGGGUAUGGUGUUGAUAUCGUGUAGUCAUAGUAACCAGGAGUGGUAUGGUGUUGAUAUCGUGUAGGCAUAGUAACCAGGAGGGGUAUGGGGUUAAUAUCAUGUAGUCAUAGUAACCAGGAGGGGUAUGGUGUUGAUAUCGUGUAGGCAUAGUAACCAGGAGGGGUAUGGGGUUAAUAUUGUGUAGUCAUAGUAACCAGGAGGGGUAUGGUGUUGAUAUCGUGUAGUCAUAGUAACCAGGAGGGGUAUGGUGUUAAUAUCGUGUAGUCAUAGUAACCA